rnacentral:snoRNA from 1 species
AUUAAUGAUGAAAUAAUAUUAAAACUUUCGUUCUUCUGUAAAGUUGUCAAAUUUCUAAUUUUGGAGAUUUAUUAACAGAAUGAUGGAGAAAACUAUACUAUUUCUGAAA